UUGGUCAGGAGCAAGUUGCAAGCAAGAGGGGCCAGACCGUUUGAAUUCACCCAGACAGUUCCACCUUACAAUCCCUCUCAAUCUGUCUCUUAUGGUUCUUUUCGUGCACACGUUCGGAAUCCUCAGACAGAAUCUCUGUUGCAGUUUCUGGAACUUCCUUACCUUCUUGAUAACACGUAGAGGUUCUGUUGAAGAGAAUAGUGAAGACAUUCCCAUUGAUGAUGUGGAUGAGUUGGAAGAAGAUGCCGUGGAUAGCGAAAAUGAAAAUUCGUGAAAACUCCUAUAGUUAUAUACCUCUUUGGGCAUCCAUCAUUUGUCCGUUUCAAAAUAUUUGGGCUGAUCAAUGCCGUUAGGCUCUCUCAGUCGAAGUUUGUUUAAUCGAAUUUCAUCUAUAUACUUGGAUGGAAGUAGGUCUGGUCUCUUUUCUUGUUCCUUUUUUAAGGCCUGUUAGUUGUGAAUAUAAUUUAUUCAGUGUCUAAUUUUUGUAAGAGGGAGCAAAUCAUAUGCUAUAUUGACCCAUGAGAACAAGAGAUAUAUGUACUGACUUUUGUUUUCGAUCUGAAAGUGGAUAG